CCUACGGGUGGCAGCAGUGAGGAAUAUUGGUCAAUGGGCGGGAGCCUGAACCAGCCAAGUCGCGUGAGGGAAGACGGUCCUCUGGAUUUUAAACCUCUUUAGCCGGGGAGCAAUGCCGGGCACGCGUGCCCGGAGGGAGAGUACCCGCAGAAUAAGCAUCGGCUAACUCCGUGCCAGCAGCCGCGGUAAUACGGAUGAUGCGAGCGUUAUCCGGAUUUAUUGGGUUUAAAGGGUGCGUAGGCGGAUUUUUAAGUCAGCGGGAAAAUGUCCGGGAGCAACCCGGGCCGGCCGUUGAAACUGGGGAUCUUGAGUGGGCGAGAAGGAUGCGGAAUGCGUGGUGUAGCGGUGAAAUGCAUAGAUAUCACGAAGAACUCCGAUUGCGAAGGCAGCAUACCGGAGCCCGACUGACGCUGAGGCACGAAAGCGUGGGGAGCGAACAGGAUUAGAUACCCCGGUAGUC
rnacentral:rRNA from 1 species